CUUGAUCCUGGCUCAGGACGAACGCUGGCGGCGUGCCUAAUACAUGCAAGUCGAACGGUUCUUUCUUUUGGAAGCUUGCUUCCGAUCGAGAGAAUAGUGGCGAACGGGUGAGUAACACGUGGGUAACCUGCCCAUAAGAGGGGGAUAACAUCCGGAAACGGGUGCUAAUACCGCAUAGUUUUUUUUGAUCGCAUGAUCGAGAAAGGAAAGACGGCCUUUGUGCUGUCGCUUAUGGAUGGACCCGCGGCGUAUUAGUUAGUUGGUGAGGUAAUGGCUCACCAAGACGAUGAUACGUAGCCGACCUGAGAGGGUGAUCGGCCACAUUGGGACUGAGACACGGCCCAAACUCCUACGGGAGGCAGCAGUAGGGAAUCUUCCGCAAUGGACGAAAGUCUGACGGAGCAACGCCGCGUGAGUGAAGAAGGUUUUCGGAUCGUAAAACUCUGUUGUCAGAGAAGAACAAGUCGGAGAGUAACUGCUCCGGCCUUGACGGUAUCUGACCAGAAAGCCACGGCUAACUACGUGCCAGCAGCCGCGGUAAUACGUAGGUGGCAAGCGUUGUCCGGAUUUAUUGGGCGUAAAGCGAGCGCAGGCGGUUCCUUAAGUCUGAUGUGAAAGCCCACGGCUCAACCGUGGAAGGUCAUUGGAAACUGGGGAACUUGAGUGCAGAAGAGGAGAGUGGAAUUCCAUGUGUAGCGGUGAAAUGCGUAGAUAUAUGGAGGAACGCCAGUGGCGAAGGCGACUCUCUGGUCUGUAACUGACGCUGANGCUCGAAAGCGUGGGGAGCAAACAGGAUUAGAUACCCUGGUAGUCCACGCCGUAAACGAUGAGUGCUAAGUGUUGGAGGGUUUCCACCCUUCAGUGCUGCAGCUAACGCAUUAAGCACUCCGCCUGGGGAGUACGGNCGCAAGGCUGAAACUCAAAGGAANUGACGGGGANCCGCACNAGCGGUGGAGCAUGNGGNUUUAANUCNAAGCAACNCNNANAACCUUACCAGGUCNUGNCAUCCUUUGANNANNCNAGAGAAUANGNNUUUCC
rnacentral:rRNA from 1 species